GAGGGUGUAGCUCAGUAGUAGAGUGCAUGCUUAGCAUGCACAAGGUCCUGGGUUCAAUCCCCAAUACUUCCU
rnacentral:tRNA from 1 species